rnacentral:sRNA from 1 species
UGAACUGCCGUAGACAGUAGGUGCUUAAAAAGCGUAAAACAUUCUUUGUUGCCUACCGAGGAAAGUCUUUAUUAAAGAAUUUUUCGUCCUUGUGAAUACGGUGAGUAUUUACAAGGAUUUUUUUGUA